rnacentral:rRNA from 1 species
CAGUAGCCGCGGUAAUACGAAGGUCCCGAGCGUUGUUCGGAAUCACUGGGCGUAAAGGGAGCGUAGGCGGCGUGGUAAGCCAGAUGUGAAAUCCCGGGGCUCAACCCCGGAACUGCAUCCGAUACUGCCAUGCUAGAGGAUUGGAGAGGUAGCUGGAAUUCUUGGUGUAGCAGUGAAAUGCGUAGAGAUGUGGAGGAACACCGAUGGCGAAGGCAGCCCCCUGGGCCAAUACUGACGCUCAUGCACGAAAGCGUGGGGAGCAAACAGGAUUAGAUACCCCCGUAGUCCCUGUCUCUUAUAC